rnacentral:rRNA from 1 species
CCUACGGGAGGCAGCAGUAGGGAAUUUUGCGCAAUGGAGGAAACUCUGACGCAGCGACGCCGCGUGAGUGACGAAGGACUUCGGUUCGUAAAGCUCUGUUGCAAGGGAAAAAGAAAGUGAUUGUACCUUGUGAGGAAGGGUCGGCUAACUUCGUGCCAGCAGCCGCGGUAAU